GUCCCACUGGUGUAUGGAACACCUCCGCUGAAGUUUCGACUAUAUUGAGGUUUAUGUGAUGCGGAAGGACCCCGUUCGAUUCGGGGGCGGGACU